AUUGAACGCUGGCGGCAGGCCUAACACAUGCAAGUCGAGCGGAUGAAGGGAGCUUGCUCCUGGAUUCAGCGGCGGACGGGUGAGUAAUGCCUAGGAAUCUGCCUGGUAGUGGGGGAUAACGUCCGGAAACGGGCGCUAAUACCGCAUACGUCCGGAGGGAGAAGGGGGGGGAUCUUCGGACCCACCGUUUUCAGAUGACCUAGGUCGGAUUAGCUAGUUUGGGGGGUAAAGGCCUACCAAGGCGACGAUCCGUAAAUGGUCUGAGAGGAUGAUCAGUCACACUGGAACUGAGACACGGUCCAGACUCCUACGGGAGGCAGCAGUGGGGAAUAUUGGACAAUGGGCGAAAGCCUGAUCCAGCCAUGCCGCGUGUGUGAAGAAGGUCUUCGGAUUGUAAAGCACUUUAAGUUGGGAGGAAGGGCAGUAAGUUAAUACCUUGCUGUUUUGACGUUACCAACAGAAUAAGCACCGGCUAACUUCGUG
rnacentral:rRNA from 1 species